rnacentral:rRNA from 1 species
CCUACGGGAGGCAGCAGUAGGGAAUCUUCCACAAUGGGCGAAAGCCUGAUGGAGCAACGCCGCGUGGGUGAAGAAGGUCUUCGGAUCGUAAAACCCUGUUGUUAGAGAAGAAAGUGCGUGAGAGUAACUGUUCACGUUUCGACGGUAUCUAACCAGAAAGCCACGGCUAACUAGGUGCCAGCAGCCGCGGUAAUACGUAGGUGGCAAGCGUUAUCCGGAUUUAUUGGGCGUAAAGGGAACGCAGGCGGUCUUUUACGUCUGAUGUGAAAGCCUUCGGCUUAACCGGAGUAGUGCAUUGGAAACUGGGAGACUGGAGUGCAGAAGAGGAGAGUGGAACUCCAUGAGUAGCGGUGAAAUGCGUAGAUAUAUGGAAGAACACCAGUGGCGAAAGCGGCUCUCUGGUCUGUAACUGACGCUGAGGUUCGAAAGCGUGGGUAGCAAACAGGAUUAGAUACCCCUGUAGUC